rnacentral:snRNA from 1 species
GUGCUCGCUUCGGCAGCACGUAUACUAAAAUUGGAACGGUACAGAGAAGAUAAGCAUGGCUCUGCACAAGGAUGACACACAAAUUCGUGAAGUGUUCCGUAUUAAA